AUUCAUAUAGUUAAAGUUAUAAUAUUAGUUUGUGAUUCUAAAGAUAUAGAAUAAAUAAUAUUUUGAAUA
rnacentral:tRNA from 1 species